UCAGCCAGCUGCGGCCGCCAUUUUAUUGCUACUUCGCCGGUGGUCGGACGCUACGUGCGCGUGUUUUCGAGUCCGAAUUACGCAGAAAUACAAUGAUCGAGUGCCGAUUACAGUAGUAUCGUUUUCGCACGUGAAUGACUGUGUCGUAUGUAGAAGUGAUCGUAUUCCUUUGUGAAGUGCGUCAUCACGGACCUGUCGUGAGUGCCGGGUCGCUUAAUGUUGUCGCGAGAGAAUGUUUUAAUAGAGUCGUUGUUUCGUUCGUGUUUAUGUAAACAUUUAUUCAAACGGUUUUCGCCGCUGUCUCGGGCUACGUCGCAACGCAUUACGUAACGUUCGCGUUAGUCUCUCUCAUACCGAGAGACUCUCCUUGUCGCGUUGUUUACACGCCGCGCGUAUGUUUACCUUUGAUCCGCCGCUGCUCGGAUGCUCCAUACCUAUCGCGUUUUUCAAGUGUAAAUUGUACAAGUCACAAGUCAACGUGAUAUGUAGAAAUCGCGUAAGAUGCGUCUUAUUUGUAAAACGCCUUUUUAUGCGUUCCGUUUAGUACCUAUUAUCCGCGUAACACGAGUGUCGAAUUACCGGGCGAUCGUCGUUAAUGUGUGUACGUACGGUUCGAGAACAAUAGAACACACGAGGCGUUAGCAGAAUUUCAGCGAGACACAGCAUCCGUGGAGCAGCUCGGUGCGUCGUGGCUGGCGGACGUAUGCGACUGCAGCCGAGCGAUCGGGGAGCGCGAGUCGCGAGUGCCGAAAGUCGGCAGUGUCGGGAAAUAUCGUAUUUUGAGAAUCGGGAGUGCAGAAAGUCGAAAGUACUUAAAAUCGGGAGUGCCGAAAGUCGGGAGUGCCGAAAAAUAUCGUAUUUUGAGAAUCGGGAGUGCCGGAAGUCAACAGUUGAAAAAUGUCGAUUGUAGAUUCGGGAGUGAGAAAAGUGUCGAGUAUUGAGAAUCGGAAAUGUCGUUAAUAGUUUACGCGGUCGUAAUUAGUGUUUCCGAUCGAUACGUUUCCGCGAGUGUCCCAGAAAAUGGAGCUAUCUUCGACUGUCAACUUGGAUGCAGAAGCUGGCGAAGCUGGGCAACGAACAUUGGCUGAUACUGCAUGUAGCAGGAUGCCGAUGCAACUUGGUGAGUGAGUUUAUUUAUUACGUGUAAUGCCCGAAUUUUCGUAGUACUAUAAAGUUCGUGAGAUUUGCGAGUUAAUAGAUAUCGAAAAUUAAGUCAGACCAAAAUCGACAAUUGACCCAAAUUCAGUAAUUAAAUAAUCUGGAGUCUGUGUUACUGAUUACAUAAUUUGGAAUACCGGCUGUAUAUUUGCAAUAUUAAAAUGUAAGAGCAAAUUACACUUGAUGAGCUGAAAACAAUCGUGAAUUUUUGAUUGUCAUUACUUGGAAAUAUAAUAAAUCCAAAUAGUUUGUUGUAAAAUGAUUAAUGUGGUAAGAACAUGCUCACACUAAUUUAAUUUAUUGAAAAUAAAGUAUCUUAUUGUCAUUCAUUUUUUAACCUUUUUAUUAUACGUAGAUAUAACACAGUUUCUUGUUUUAAAAUAUAUUUCUCUCAAGAGAAGACAGAGUGCGCAUAUUAAUCAGGUCAGAAUUGGAAUUUAGAAUAUCACACAAUGACUUUUUACGCGUUGUCCAUAUUUGUUACAUAACAGCGAGUUUUCAUAUACUUUGCCUACUUUACAUAUAUUCGGGCAUUACUCUACUCAUAUUUUGUUAAUGCGUAUGGUUUAUGUGUUCUGGCAGUUGCCUCCGUCAUUAAAAUUGGAGUUGCAUAUGCAUUAUAAACAAUAAAGUAAUUUUUUCUCCAUUCUUCUUCCGAAGAACACGCGUUUUCCAUUUGCACGUUACAAAUGCAGAUACUCAAAUACAUAUAUUUCCUCGAUAAUUUAUGUAUCUCGUGACGGCUGAAAAUGGAUUUUAUCCGGUUUCUCAAACUAUUUCAAAUAAGUCCGAAUUAUUCCAAAUCAAUUGAAUCUUGUUAGUAUAUCAAAUCUCACUAAAUUCUUGCGAGAGAAAUCAAUCAGAACUCAAUCCGACGAAGAUACUUGAUCGCGCAAACAAAAGUCCUCUCUCGCAUUGCGGAAAGUGUCGAUAACGCAACAGUUAUCUAAUCGCGAGAGACGCGCGCGUAUCGAUGUAUCCAGCGUAAAAGCCAAAUUGACAGAUUCCCCCGUCGCGCCGAGACGCCAAACAUUCUUUGUAUUUUCGGAAUUUACUCUAAUCGCAAGUCGGCAGACAACGGCAUAGUUUGACGUUAAAGGAAUUUCCGGGUGCUCGGUGCGCACACCGACGACGGCCGACCGGGGGUUGGCGCGCGGUUGUAUGCGUGCAUUGUUACCCCAACAAAUCUGCCUCGAAUCAGCGAUGGAUCCACCGUACGUUUGUAACUAACCGCAUCGUACUCUCUCAAAUGCACUUUGCAUGCGGCGCGAUAGGUGCCUAACUUCCAGCAGAAUUAGAUAACCAAACGAGCACUCGCGUACCGCACCGGGCUGCCCCUUUCGCUCCCUCCGCGCACUCCCCCGCACCAGUAAUAGUUCGAUCGUUUUCGGGAAUAUGCGAGUGUUAGCAAUGCGCAAAUGUCCAACUUGAUUUAAAUAUCGUGCGCCAUUCUGUCCGACAGGGCGACCGAGUGCGUGCUUAUAGCUUUAUGGCGGAUCGGACAAUUUUAUUACCGGGGCGCAGAUAUACAGGCUGCAUCGCGUCUAUCUCGUUUUACGCAUUUGUAGCCUACUUUGGAUUAACGCCGGACAGAUAUCAUUAUCUCUUCCUCGAAACGUUUCAUCGUUCCUGGGCGAAGGACUCGCUCGCCAAGGAGGGCGAAUAAUUUCGCGUGGAAAAGGGUUAAAUUUAGCAGUAGGCCACUCGAGCUGGUAAGCCAUCUGCAAAUGCACGUGUACUCUGGUCGGCUAAACAGAUACAAUGAGACUUCCUGUGUGCAUAGAGAGACUGAGUCCUUUUGUCCAUUGGAUCGCUGUUGCCGGAUAGUGUGACCAAACGCCGGUAAAGCCCUUUGUUUCAUGUGGGCUACCAUGCACGCAGCCUCGAGACACUCGCGCUACUACACGUCAUUCGAAAAGUGCGCGGCGACUAUCCGUAAAAUGUACUUCAGCAAAGCGCGCGUAAUAAUUUCCACGUGUGUAAUUCCAAGUUGCGCGCGUAAUUAAUCCUCCAAUCGAAACUGCGCUCCCUUUGUCCGGUGAUUUACUACGGUCUUUAUCUUACACUAUCCCGCGACGCGAUUGUCGCUUGGCUCGAAACAAUGGUUUCCCCCCCUCCUCCCCUCUCCCUUCGCUUCUCGGAACGGCCAUUAACGGCACGUAGCAAAUUUUUAGUAAUUCAUAAAAGUGCCCGCGGAAUUUGGCCCGCGGCCAGAAUCGUGUUUGUAUU